rnacentral:lncRNA from 1 species
CGUGAAGAAGGUCCUUGCCUCUCCUUCAUCUUCUGGGAGGCCUCCCAGCCAUGCUUCCUGUUAAGUCUGCAGAACUAGUCUUCUGUAGCAGCCGAAAUCUGGUCUUCAGGGCAAGUUGCAAUCUGGUUCUCCACUUUCCAAAUUCAGCUCCUGGUGCUCCCGGACACAGAUCCUGUUCUUCAGUCUCCUCCUGCCCUGGACACCGAGUUCAGCUUGCUCAGCAAAGCCUGCAUGUCGUGCAUCAGUCAGCAUUUUUUUCUUAUUUUAACCCUGACUUUUCCUUGAAGUCCAGACCAAGUUUGACCUUCUCAAGGAGUCUCCUGAGACCACUUCAGCCUGUAGUGGUUUCUGUGCACUGAUAGCUCUUCCUGUCCACACUGUAUGAGCACAGACACCCUCACAGCACCUUCAUUUCCCAACUGUGCUUCCACGCUCCUAAAGGCAGGAUACAGGGCCUUCUCGUACUGGGGAAGAAAAAGAAUAUUCUGUCUCCCAUGUGCCCUCUGGACUGUAUGUCUCCACAAACACAGGUUGAGCAUCUCUAAUCCAAAAGUCUGAGAUGCUCCCAAAUCUAGCACUUUGAGUGCUGAUGUGAAAUGCAAAGGAAAUGCUCACUGGGGCAUUUCGGCCUUCAGAUUUUUGGAUUAGGAAUGCUGUGUAUAAUGCAAAUAUUCCAAAAUUGGAACAAAUGUGAAAUCUGAAACACAUCUGGUCACGAGCAUUCUGGAUAACGGAUUCUCAACCUGUAGUAAAUAGAACCUCAGUGUUUAAACACGUAAGAAAAGACGUAAGGAACUGUUGUAAAUUUAAAAAGAUGCAUGGCAAAUACAGGUGCAACAUCCUAAAUGUAUUGGAGAUUACAUCUCUGCUGUUACGCACAUUGGUUUGCAGGUAGAAAUAAAAAUGGUCCACUUUAACUCAGUAAAUUGUAAUUAAGUUAACCUUUUAAAAGUCUUUAGAACAGGAAGCACGAGGUAAGAAUUCUCUAGUCCUGGGGUUCUCCACCUUCUCCGCUGACCUCGGGGCUAGUGAACUCCUUGAUGUGCUGCUGUCACGGGCACUGGCUUUGUAGAUGUUCAGCAUAACCCAGGCCUCUCCCACUUUAUGCCAGUACCGCCUUGUCUGGUUGUGGCAACCAAACAGUCUGAGAUGUUUCCAAAUGUCCCCUGGGGGGAUUAGAGUGGACCCCAGCUGAGCAUCACUGGCCUGCAGAUUCACAUUGGGAGUGACGUUUACACCCUUGGAAGUGGUGGAUUGGUAUCUCACUCUAGUGCCAGCGUGGGAAGUUGGGGCAUCAGUUGCCAUGUGCAUACAGAAUGUGAGAGAGUGUUCACAUGGCAGCCCCUAAGCUCUGGGUCUGAACACAACCCUUUUGGGGACACAGAACCUGACAGGGUCCCGGCUUGGGACCAGCCUUGCACAAAGAGCUCUGGUUUAAACAAUCACCGUUGUCCUCAGGGGCUAACACAACAGCCAUUCUUAUCAAAGUGGGAACUACUGCACUCUGCAGGAGGGCCUUCUCCUCUCCCAAGAGUGUGGAAACUUGCCUUGGCAAGUCCACUGGGGCCCUGCUUAUCGUUGUGGUACCAGAAGGUUAAGGGUGCAUUAAAAGAAUGUGUCUAACGCACAGGGAACUUGUAAAGCUAGAGGUGCCUCUCGGAGUUUGGCCACUUUUACUGCACACAAUUCCAGCGCCAUCUGACUAUCCUGACAUUUGCCUGGUUUAUUAUACAGGGACACAUGGGUGUGAGAUCGAGAGUGAGGAUGUUCAGGAUUUAAUUAGCAUGCAUCUGUCUUGGGUGUGUGCCCAGACGCUCUGUGAUGGGUGAAUCUGAAAAUCAAUACUAACAGUAAAAGACAAAUAGGGUAACACUAAUGAGCGCAAUAAUAAUAAUUUGUAAAACAAAUGCUAACUUUACAGGCUUCUUAGGUAGGGUUUGGGGCUUACUCCGAGGAAGCCUGAGUGAGCCA